GUGCUGGCUUCGCCAGCACAUAUACUAAAAUUGGAACAAUACAGAGAAGAUUAGCACGGCCCUGUGCAAGGAUGACAUGCAAAUUCAUGAAGCAUCCCAUAUUUUU
rnacentral:snRNA from 1 species